UGGUCUGCAGAGUCGAAUAGUAUAGGGGAAUCUUCUUAUAUAAUAAUUAAUUCAGAAAAAUUGCUGUUUUCCUCCAGUGCCCAUGCUAGGCACCACAGAAAACAAUGGUGAGACAUGGGGGAAUGGGGUAAAUUCUGACACCCUCAAAAUAUUCUUUCUCCACAGCAGAGUAAUGUUUAAUAAAUGACCUCCAGCCCCAGCCUUUCUUUUCAACCGCAAAUGCUCUCAGCUCAGGAGGAAAACCAGAGCUCAGCAGCAUGUGUAUUAGGUUUGAAAGGCUAGCAACACCACUCAGCAGCAGUGGGAGGAAAGGGCUCCACUCUCAAGGCAUUUCAUGCAGGCAGAGUGGCUCCCAUUAGGAGCCCAUCCUGUUUGCAGGGAGCAGAGGUUCUUCUUCAUUAAGGAAAGAGGUCUGAAGAGCCCCUGCAGCAGGUGCUAAUGGCAUUAGGGCUGAGAGGUCGCCAGGCAGCUGCUUGGCAUGUAACCAGGAGACUGAAGCAAAGUCAUGGUGCUGUCCAUCUUGCUCUUAGAGACAGGAUCUCCCAUUGUCUAGGCUGCUGACCAGCAAAGGCCAGGGAUUCUCCCGUCUACGCCUCUCCAACCCAUUGCUGACAUUACAAGUGUGUGUCAUGACCACUGGCUUUUUACGAGGGAUCUGGGCUCCAAAUGCAGGUAUUCCUGUUUGUGAGGCAUAAUUCCAUGUGCCAGAUACAGAAGGCAGAAAGAGGCUGCCUCAUAAGGGAAGAGGACGGAGGUGCUGGCUUAAAUGCAUGCCCUAGGAAAGACGGGGGCCUUCAUCAUCGGCCAUGAGGGAAGGGGGCCCCCACACACCAUGCCCUUCCAUCGGCUUCCAUCCUCGAGGCCCAGACCGUCUCUAUGAUGCUACUUAACGGGACAAAGGGACACAGGCCCCUCUCACAAAUGUACUUCAAACAUUUGUCACUUCAUACCCCGUGAUGGGAAAUCUAUCCUGACUACGCACUCUCCUGCUGAGGCAGAUGGUUUACCAAGACUCUUGCUGAGAGCCUGUGGACCAGGAAUCAUACUGGCCAUUUCACAGACGAGGAGAAGCUGGCGGCUGUAACAGGCAGAAGCAAUCACUGUCAACUAGGUGUCACAGGUGCCUCCCCCCCACAAACCCCCAACACACUUCCAGUGACAAGAGCAAGAAGACCAAAGGAGGCGCUGACAGUCCGAGUCACUGAUGGGUCCGUCUCUGCCAGCUGGAUUGCUUGAAACCAGUGUGUAUAGCAGAACUUUUAACACGUUCUCUUAGCUCCUACCUUCCUUGGAAGACCCUGUGUCUCUCUUAUGUGUAAAAUACGCGUAGACAGUGUCUGCAUGCAUGGAACAUACGCAAUUUCUGACUUGCCAUGGUGCAACUUUAAAAUUUGUUUAUUUAUUUGAAACAAGAUCUCAUGGAGUCCUAGGCUGGACUCAAAUUCCUUAUUAGCCAAGGAUGAACUUGAACUUUUCAUCCUCCUGACCCCGUCUGAUGAGCGCUGGGAUCACAGCUGUACACUACCAUAGCCGGUUUGUGUAGUGCCGGGGUAGAACCCAGUGCUCUGUGCAUGCCAAGCAAGCGCCCUGCCACCUGAGUUCACUCUUAACCCAACUGCAUGGGUUCCUGCCUUUAGCCUGGUGCCGGUGCUACCUGUGCAAUCUUUCCGUGCUUCACUUCGGUA